GAAAUGCGAUAAGUAAUGUGAAUUGCAGAAUUCAGUGAAUCAUCGAAUCUUUGAACGCACAUUGCGCCCCCUGGUAUUCCGGGGGGCAUGCUUGUUCGAGCGUCAUUUCACCACUCAAGCCUCGCUUGGUAUUGGGCGACGCGGUCCGCCGCGCGCCUCAAAUCGACCGGCUGGGUCUUUCGUCCCCUCAGCGUUGUGGAAACUAUUCGCUAAAGGGUGCCGCGGGAGGCCACGCCGUAAAACAACCCCAUUUCUAAGGUUGACCUCGGAUCAGGUAGGGAUACCCGCUGAACUUAAGC
rnacentral:misc_RNA from 1 species